GGGGCCUCCUCGGCAGGUGCUCUCGGUGAAGACGGCCGCGGCGGACUGCGGCCUCGGGACCCUCUAACCCGCGUCGCUCCUCGUCUGCGUUCCGGAGGGAGGCCUCCCGGAGACCGAGCUCUGCACAGACCUGCGUCGUUGCUGUUUUAGCAGCAUUGCCAACGAAGCGUUUUUGCUAUGUUUUUCUCACAGAAGAGGAGUCAUGUCAGAAGAAACAGUAAAGGAAUCACAGUUUUCCUUGAAGACAGCAGUACUAAGAGUGUUUGAUCUUCCUGUGUCUUGGUACUAUUCUCUCUCCCAGGUAAAAAAGCAAAAACAAAUGUGAAAUUACUAAGUUUAUUGUUCUGACCGUAGUAUUUUGUUUACAGUAUUUAAAUUUCAGUUGAGGUUUUAUUUUUUUAUUUUUAA
rnacentral:lncRNA from 1 species